rnacentral:rRNA from 1 species
GGCGAACGGGUGAGUAACACGUGAGCAACCUGCCCCUGACUCUGGGAUAAGCGCUGGAAACGGCGUCUAAUACUGGAUAUGUGACGUGACCGCAUGGUCUGCGUUUGGAAAGAUUUUUCGGUUGGGGAUGGGCUCGCGGCCUAUCAGCUUGUUGGUGAGGUAAUGGCUCACCAAGGCGUCGACGGGUAGCCGGCCUGAGAGGGUGACCGGCCACACUGGGACUGAGACACGGCCCAGACUCCUACGGGAGGCAGCAGUGGGGAAUAUUGCACAAUGGGCGAAAGCCUGAUGCAGCAACGCCGCGUGAGGGAUGACGGCCUUCGGGUUGUAAACCUCUUUUAGCAGGGAAGAAGCGAAAGUGACGGUACCUGCAGAAAAAGCGCCGGCUAACUACGUGCCAGCAGCCGCGGUAAUACGUAGGGCGCAAGCGUUAUCCGGAAUUAUUGGGCGUAAAGAGCUCGUAGGCGGUUUGUCGCGUCUGCUGUGAAAUCCCGAGGCUCAACCUCGGGCCUGCAGUGGGUACGGGCAGACUAGAGUGCGGUAGGGGAGAUUGGAAUUCCUGGUGUAGCGGUGGAAUGCGCAGAUAUCAGGAGGAACACCGAUGGCGAAGGCAGAUCUCUGGGCCGUAACUGACGCUGAGGAGCGAAAGGGUGGGGAGCAAACAGGCUUAGAUACCCUGGUAGUCCACCCCGUAAACGUUGGGAACUAGUUGUGGGGUCCAUUCCACGGAUUCCGUGACGCAGCUAACGCAUUAAGUUCCCCGCC